rnacentral:tRNA from 1 species
CUGGGGAUAUAACAAUGGUAGUUUACCCGCCUUGGACGCGGGAGGUUAUAGGUUCGAGUCCUGUUCCCCAGA